CCUUGUCACAGCUCCCCUGACCUGAAGCAGAGCCCUUCCCAUCACUGACAGUGUUGGGGGUUGAGAGCCCCCCAGCAGAGCCCUUCCCAUCACUGACAGUGUCAGGGGUUGAGAGCCCCUCAGCAGAGCCCUUCCCAUCACUGACAGUGUCGGGGGUUGAGAGUCCCCCAGCAGAGCCCUUCCCAUCACUGACAGUGUUGGGGGUUGAGAGUCCCCCAACAGAGCCCUUCCCAUCACUGACAGUGUCGGGGGUUGAGAGCCCCCCAGCAGAGCCCUUCCCAUCACUGACAGUGUCGGGGGUUGAGAGCCCCCCCAGCAAAGCCCUUCCCAUCACUGACAGUGUCCGGGGCUGAGAGCCCCCGUAGCAGAGCCCUUCCCAUCACUGACAGUGUCGGGUUGAGAACCCCCCAGCAGAGCCCUUCCCAUCACUGACAGUGUCUGGGGCUGAGAGCCCCCCAGCAGAGCCCUCCCAUCACUGAACAGUGUCAGUGGCUGAGAGCCCCCCAGCAGAACCCUUCCCAUCACUGACAGUGUUGGGGGCUGAGAGCCUCCCAGCAGAGCCCUUCCCAUCACUGACAGUGUCUGGGGCUGAGAGCCCCCCAGCAGAGCCCUCCCAUCACUGAACAGUGUCAGUGGCUGAGAGCCCCCCAGCAGAACCCUUCCCAUCACUGACAGUGUUGGGGGCUGAGAGCCUCCCAGCAGAGCCCUUCCCAUCACUGACAGUGUCUGGGGCUGAGAGCCCCCCUAACAGAGCCCUUCCCAUCACUGACAGUGUUUGCAGCUGAGAGCCCCCCCAGCAGAGCCCUUCCCAUCACUGACAGUGUCGGGUUGAGAGCCACCUACAGAGAUUUUCUGUCAGCAGUUUCCCAGUAUUUCAGACUCAUAAUCUGUGUUUAGCACUCCAGUGUUCUCUUGUAAUAGCCAGGUCUGGAAACGACCCAUGGAAAGAGGGGCCUUUGUAUUCUGCUAGAAC
rnacentral:lncRNA from 1 species